rnacentral:rRNA from 1 species
ACGCUGGCGGCAGGCUUACACAUGCAAGUCGAACGGUAACAGGAGAAAGCUUGCUUUCUACUGACGAGUGGCGGACGGGUGAGUAAUGCUUGGGAAUCUGGCUUAUGGAGGGGGAUAACGACGGGAAGCUGUCGCUAAUACCGCGUAGAGUCGAGAGACGAAAGUGCGGGACCGCAAGGCCGCAUGCCAUAGGAUGAGCCCAAGUGGGAUUAGGUAGUUGGUGGGGUAAAGGCCUACUAAGCCGACGAUCUCUAGCUGGUCUGAGAGGAUGACCAGCCACACCGGGACUGAGACACGGCCCGGACUCCUACGGGAGGCAGCAGUGGGGAAUAUUGCGCAAUGGGGGCAACCCUGACGCAGCCAUGCCGCGUGAAUGAAGAAGGCCUUCGGGUUGUAAAGUUCUUUCGGUAUUGAGGAAGGUUGUUGUGUUAAUAGCACGACAAAUUGACGUUAAAUACAGAAGAAGCACCGGCUAACUCCGUGCCAGCAGCCGCGGUAAUACGGAGGGUGCGAGCGUUAAUCGGAAUAACUGGGCGUAAAGGGCACGCAGGCGGACUUUUAAGUGAGGUGUGAAAUCCCCGGGCUUAACCUGGGAAUUGCAUUUCAGACUGGGAGUCUAGAGUACUUUAGGGAGGGGUAGAAUUCCACGUGUAGCGGUGAAAUGCGUAGAGAUGUGGAGGAAUACCGAAGGCGAAGGCAGCCCCUUGGGAAUGUACUGACGCUCAUGUGCGAAAGCGUGGGGAGCAAACAGGAUUAGAUACCCUGGUAGUCCACGCUGUAAACGCUGUCGAUUUGGGGAUUGGGCCUUGAGCUUGGUGCUCGAAGCUAACGUGAUAAAUCGACCGCCUGGGGAGUACGGCCGCAAGGUUAAACUCAAAUGAAUUGACGGGGGCCCGCACAAGCGGUGG